GCCAGGCGUGGUGGCUCACGCCUGUAAUCCCAGCACUUUGGGAGGCAGAGGCGGGUGGAUCACCUGAGGUCAGGGGUUUGAGACCAGCCUGACCAACACGGAGAAACCCCGUCUCUA
rnacentral:SRP_RNA from 2 species